UACUGCCCAGUAAUCCGGGAUAACAUCUCGAAAGAGAUGCUAAUACCUGAUAAGCCCACGAUCUCUUCGGAGAACGAGGGAAAAGGUGGGGACCUUCGGGCCUGCCGUUGCUGGAUGAGUCCGCGGCCCAUCAGCUAGUUGGUAGGGUAAUGGCCUACCAAGGCUACGAUGGGUAGCUGGUCUGAGAGGAUGAUCAGCCACACUGGAACUGAGACACGGUCCAG
rnacentral:rRNA from 1 species